rnacentral:rRNA from 2 species
ACUUCCGUAGGUGAACCUGCGGAAGG